rnacentral:lncRNA from 1 species
GGAAGAGGAGUAGCCUGUUAGGAAAAGCAAAUUCUUAGAGCAAGACAUGAACACAUCUCUUUCAUAAACGCGAAUUUACUUGCUCUAAUGAAGAAAUGGUGGUGACAGUUCUAGAAAAGAAAAUGCCAAAGAUGGAAAACCUUUAAAAUAUAACUUAAAGGUGAAGAAGACCACCUGGACCGGCCACCAUGUGAGAUCAAAGAAGAGGCUCAAAAUAUGGCAAAAGUAAGAUUGCUAAGGCUGUCCAAACACUCCCACCUCCAGUUUGAAAAUUCUGUAUACUGAUUUUGCUUUUGAUUUUGUUAGCCGUCUUGCAAGGACACUCUGCAUAUAUGUAAAAUCUAUAUUAUGCCUGUCUAGCUGUGAGCUGUCAAAUGAUGUUGCACUUGCUAAUUCAUGGACUAUUUAUCUUUGUGUUUAUGCUGUAACAAAAUGAUGGCUGUUUAAUUAUACUACAAAUGAGUUUUGCCAGCCAAUUGUAUGGCAGAUGUUAUUUACUUCCAGAACAACUGUCAGAAGACCAAAGCAGCACAUCUAACAAACUAAAAUGUACUGUAUUGGGUUACAUUUCACAGGCAACCUCUUCUAUCACCUAGCUACAGGCUUUCCAUUGUAAUAAAAAUGGGAGGGGCAGCAUCAUUGAGUAUGACGGCCAGCCAGAAAUCUGGUUGUCAAUAUUGAAUAAGAUUAAGAGUUGUAACUGAGUAGAUUCUACCUGGAGAAUAAAACAAGGAACUGUAGUAAGCAUGAAAAAAAAGAUCCUUCAAAUUUGCUAAAUGCUAUGGUGUUACAGCAUUCAUUAACUAAUUCCAUAAUGGCAGAGGGGAAGAAAAAACAUCUAUCUUCUCUAUUUGUAUGGUAACUGAGCAAUAGUCACUGAAGUAUCAUUUUUCUCAUGAAAUUUAUGAAUGAUGUAAAGGUGGAGAGAAUGCCUAUAGUUGGAGGGUACCAUAACUUGAACCCAGGAAGCAAACUCACAAUAAACUUGUUCUGUGUAUUGUUUAAACUUUUCUAAGCUUGUGUGAACAUUUUAUUAUGCCUACCACUUGCUUCAAAUAAAAUUUU